ensembl:lncRNA
CUCUCGGAUAGAUUUAAGUUUUUAACCUAAUGAUGACCUUCACUUGCACUGCCAUCUCAUUGGGCAUUAGAGUUAGACUUAGUUAUAGUUACAGUAAAAACAUAUACAAAUUCAACACUAACAUUUGUGUGUUUCUUUGUCAAGAAGAGGUGGCCCAAACGAUCUGGAAGGCUGUUUUUGUCCAAGCUGUGGUUGUUGCACUUCAGCAUCUAGCUAGCUAUUGGUACAGAAGAAGAGCUAGCAUAAGUGGGGUAACAUUUUUAAGUUUCAGCGUGAACGAAGUAAGAAAGACUACUGGAGAGGAAGAAGAAAGAUUAUAUUUAAAGCUCCAGAGGUGAUCUGAGCCUUUGGGGACCUUCUCCAUCCUUCCCGGCCCACUCACUAGCUCCCCGCCUGGGCUUCACUGGCUCUGCUGGACCCCUGGAUGGAGGUACAAGCCACAGGAGGAGAGGAAGAAGACAAGAGCCCAUGGCAAUGAUGAUGAGCUGCGCCGGGUCUCUGAGUUCAGUCAUCCAGCAGCCUUUAUCCAGCCUUCCAACCACCCACCCUUGCUUCCAUCUGAAAAAGGGAAAAUAGAGAGUGUUUUUCAAAAUCUCACCUUUGGCAUUCAGCAUCCCUCUGCUCAAUGCAAAUGCAAAUGCAAACACUAACACUUUGAUUAAAAAUACGUGGGAAGAAAACGCCAACUUGCUCUUUUGUAACCCGCCCCAAGGCUCCCACUGCUGUACAGAAACAAAUAAAAAUUCUCAACAUGCUGUAUGAAACACAGAAGCAUCAAUUUCUGUUCGUUUUUCUAAAAUGUUA